rnacentral:rRNA from 1 species
UUUUCCUACGGGACGCAGCAGUGGGGAAUAUUGCACAAUGGGGGAAACCCUGAUGGUGCGACGCCGCGUGGGGGAAUGAAGGUCUUCGGAUUGUAAACCCCUGUCAUGUGGGAGCAAAUUAAAAAGAUAGUACCACAAGAGGAAGAGACGGCUAACUCUGUGCCAGCAGCCGCGGUAAUACAGAGGUCUCAAGCGUUGUUCGGAAUCACUGGGCGUAAAGCGUGCGUAGGCUGUUUCGUAAGUCGUGUGUGAAAGGCGCGGGCUCAACCCGCGGACGGCACAUGAUACUGCGAGACUAGAGUAAU